rnacentral:sRNA from 1 species
CAUGGCCGCCUGCGCCCAACCCUCAAAAAGUCAAACCAUGAUGUUGCAGUUUUGCUAGACACUUCUAGGAAGGAAUUUCGACCAUCAGAACCAGUCCGUUGGCCAAUAACCAGCCCACUGGCACAGACCAAGUUCUCUGCUGGAUCCGGAUUUCCACACCAGCUUCGUUUCCACCUCUUCCGCGCGUUCAUUGGCCUUUUUUUGCUGUUCUUGUUCAUUCAGUUGCGAAAAAUAAUAAUUCAGAAAAAGCACGAUAUCCAUUCCAUAAAAAAGCAAUGACAGAUCAUGCGUAUAAAGCCCGAAGUUGACAAUACACAGGAAAAUCGAACCACUUGGAAGCAUUCAAGGAUAAUGCUUGCUUGGUUGCACAGAGG